rnacentral:rRNA from 1 species
GAGGAAUAUUGGUCAAUGGGCGAGAGCCUGAACCAGCCAAGUAGCGUGCAGGAUGACGGCCCUAUGGGUUGUAAACUGCUUUUAUGCGGGGAUAAAGUGAGGGACGUGUCCUCCAUUGCAGGUACCGCAUGAAUAAGGACCGGCUAAUUCCGUGCCAGCAGCCGCGGUAAUACGGAAGGUCCGGGCGUUAUCCGGAUUUAUUGGGUUUAAAGGGAGCGUAGGCCGUGGAUUAAGCGUGUUGUGAAAUGCAGGUGCUCAACGUCUGCACUGCAGCGCGAACUGGUCCACUAGAGUGUGCACAACGCAGGCGGAAUUCGUCGUGUAGCGGUGAAAUGCUUAGAUAUGACGAAGAACUCCGAUUGCGAAGGCAGCUUGCGGGAGCACAACUGACGCUGAAGCUCGAAAGUGCGGGUAUCGAACAGGAUUAGAUACCCUGGUAGUCCGCACGGUAAACGAUGGAUGCCCGUUGUCAGGCUGUUUCAGCCUGGUGACCAAGCGAAAGCAUUAAGCAUCCCACCUGGGGAGUACGCCGGCAACGGUG